UACGUAGGGUGCGAGCGUUGUCCGGAAUUAUUGGGCGUAAAGAGCUCGUAGGCGGUCUGUCGCGUCUGCUGUGAAAUCCCGAGGCUCAACCUCGGGCUUGCAGUGGGUACGGGCAGGCUAGAGUGCGGUAGGGGAGAAUGGAACUCCUGGUGUAGCGGUGGAAUGCGCAGAUAUCUGGAGGAACACCGGUGGCGAAGGCGGCGUCCUGGACCAACACUGACACCGAUGAGCGAAAGCCAGGGGAGCAAACGGG
rnacentral:rRNA from 1 species